rnacentral:misc_RNA from 1 species
UUCUUUGGUUAAAACAGAUUUUUCUCCCUUUACCUUAGUGAAGAAGAGUUCACCAAGAAUGGCUUCUUCUUCUUCAUUGGCACCUCUAUCUUUCUCUCUUUCCUCUGAAUUGCUUCCAUCACACAAACCCAAUUCUCUUUCAUGGUCUUCUUCAUUUCCCCAACUCAGAAUUUCUGCUUCUUCAAUUCCAUGCCCUUCAAAUCUCUCUUUUCACAAGAAAUUUGUCGUUG